rnacentral:rRNA from 1 species
CCUACGGGUGGCAGCAGUGGGGAAUAUUGCACAAUGGGCGCAAGCCUGAUCCAGCAACGCCGCGUGAAGGAUGACGGCCUUCGGGUCGUAAACUUCUGUCCUUGUGGACGAAGAACUGACGUUACCCAACUAGGAAGCCCCGGCUAACUACGUGCCUACAGCCGCGGUAAGACGGUGGGGGCAAGCGUUAUCCUGAAUUAUUGGGCGUAAGGAGUACGUAUUUGGCACAAUAAGCGCAGGGUUUAAGGCAAGGUCGAAACCAUUAUUCGCCCUGUGGCCUGGGAGGCUUGAGUGCAGGAGAGGAAAGCGGAAGUCCUAGUGUAGCAGGGAAAUGCUUAGAUAUUAGGAAGAACACCAGUGGCGAAGGCGGCUUUCUGGACUGUAACUGACACUGAGGUACGAAAGCGUGGGGAGCAAACAGGAUUAGAUACCCCAGUAGUC